AUGUGUAUCCCCAAGAGAGAUGGUGGCAUGGGGUUUAGAGAUCCACAUGCUUUUAACUUAGCUAUGCUAGCAAAGCAAAGUUGGAGAUUGAUUUCAAACAUAGAUAGCUUAUGUGCUAGAGUGCUUCGAGCAAAGUACUAUCCUAAUGGGAACCUUUUGAAAGUGGGCCAAAAAAUGGGUCAUCAUUUACGUGCCAAAGUAUAA
rnacentral:rRNA from 1 species